UUCUAAUUGCCUCAUAAUUAGUAAGACCUGCACAAUGACCACUUAAAUAGCCGCUAACGUGCAAAGGUAGCACAAUAAAUUGCCUGCUAAUUACAGGAUAGAAUGAAAGGUCUAACAUGAUACCUUCUUUAUUAUCUUAACCUCUUUAACUUUACAAGAAAGUAAAAAGGCUUUCAUAAUUAGGGGGACGACAAGACCCUGUCGAACUUAACUUUAAGUUUAGCUGGGGCGGCAAUAAAUACUACCUUUCUCUAAUCCAUUCAAAAUCCAUAAUAUGAUAUAUUAAGUUACCGCAGGGUUAACAGCAUAAUUUACUUCUAGAGACCUUAUCCAAAAGUAAGAUUGUGACCUCGAUGUUGAAUAAUAAUCUCCUUGGAGCAAAAUCCAAGAAAGAAAGUCUGUUCGACUUUUAAUAAAUUACA
rnacentral:rRNA from 1 species